rnacentral:rRNA from 1 species
GGGUCAGUAGGUUGGUCGUGCCACCGGUACGUAGUGGUAUCACUGAUUCCUCCUUCCUGAAGAACCGUAAUGCCAUUAAUUUGGUGUUGCGGGGAAACAGGACUGUUACUUUGAAAAAAUUAGAGUGUUUAAAGCAAGCUAACGCUUGAAUACAUUAGCAUGGAAUAAUGAAAUAGGACGAUCGAUCCUAUUUUGUUGGUUUCUAGGAUUGACGUA